rnacentral:rRNA from 1 species
AUUGAACGCUGGCGGCAGGCUUAACACAUGCAAGUCGAGCGGGGAAAAGUAGCUUGCUACUGGACCUAGCGGCGGACGGGUGAGUAAUGCUUAGGAAUCUGCCUAUUAGUGGGGGACAACAUCUCGAAAGGGAUGCUAAUACCUCAUACGUCCUACGGGAGAAAGCAGGGGAUCUUCGGACCUUGCGCUAAUAGAUGAGCCUAAGUCGGAUUAGCUAGUUGGUGGGGUAAAGGCCUACCAAGGCGACGAUCUGUAGCGGGUCUGAGAGGAUGAUCCGCCACACUGGGACUGAGACACGGCCCAGACUCCUACGGGAGGCAGCAGUGGGGAAUAUUGGACAAUGGGCGGAAGCCUGAUCCAGCCAUGCCGCGUGUGUGAAGAAGGCCUUAUGGUUGUAAAGCACUUUAAGCGAGGAGGAGGCUACUUUAGUUAAUACCUAGAGAUAGUGGACGUUACUCGCAGAAUAAGCACCGGCUAACUCUGUGCCAGCCGCCGCCGUAAAAC